GCUUGCUUUGGCCACACAUAUACUAAAAUUGAAAUGAUAUAGAGAAGAUUAGCAUGAUAGCUGUGUAAGGAUGACAUGCAAAGCAUUCCAUAUUUUU
rnacentral:snRNA from 1 species